GGCGUGUUGGUCUAUCGGUUAGGACGCCGCCCUCUCAAGGCGGAAAGACGAGUUCAAUUCUCGUACACGCUGCCA
rnacentral:tRNA from 2 species